rnacentral:rRNA from 1 species
AUGUCAAAGCAGAAGAGAGCGACAUGUAUGAUCAGUAUUGAAUCGCGCCCGAUCUACUUGGAUGUGCAGACCUGGGAGUUGGAACAAUUCACCAAGAGAAGCCAGUUCGUGUAUAACAGAAUGGGUGGAAUUUAUCAUGAGAUCCUACCUAAAUCCGAGUACUUCUCCAAGGCACUGUACACCUUCCAUUCCGCCCAAAAUGAUCUCUCCGUGGGCUACUUCACCAAUAAGACUACCAAACAGAUUGAGGCCUAUGACCCCGAUCCGAAGGAGCGGUUCACUGUGGCAAUGCAGAAACUCCGCGGAAAGCUGCUGCAGAUAGGUGUUGUGCUGGUAUAUUCUUUCUGUAGCCUUUGUUCAGCAAAUGCCAAAAUAGUGUUGCUUUCAUGCGUACAUCGUUUCGUUUGGAGUUUUGCCCACUUGAUCUGA